UACGUAGGGUGCGAGCGUUGUCCGGAAUUACUGGGAGUAAAGAGCUCGUAGGUGGUUUGUCGCGUUGUUCGUGAAAACUCACAGCUUAACUGUGGGCGUGCGGGCGAUACGGGCAGACUGGAGUACUGCAGGGGAGACUGGAAUUCCUGGUGUAGCGGUGGAAUGCGCAGAUAUCAGGAGGAACACCGGUGGCGAAGGCGGGUCUCUGGGCAGUAACUGACGCUGAGGAGCGAAAGCGUGGGGAGCGAACAGG
rnacentral:rRNA from 1 species